rnacentral:rRNA from 1 species
UACGUAGGGGGCAAGCGUUGUCCGGAUUUAUUGGGCGUAAAGAGCGUGUAGGCGGCUUGGUAGGUCCGUUGUGAAAACUCGAGGCUCAACCUCGAGACGCCGAUGGAAACCAUCAGACUAGAGUCCGGAAGAGGAGAGUGGAAUUCCUGGUGUAGCGGUGAAAUGCGCAGAUAUCAGGAAGAACACCCGUGGCUAAGGCGGCUCUCUAGUACGGUACUGACGCUGAGACGCGAAAGCGUGAGGAGCGAACAGG